GCAUGUUCUGAUUCCUUGCCUCACAUUGUCCAUAUUUUGACAUCGAAGGAUUGUAAAGGUGAAGCCCAAUUUUUAAAGAAGCAAAGUGAUAUUAUCGAGGAUGUUGUGGAUGAAGUUGUGCACGCAUAUCAUGGUGGUUUCAACAAAGCAAUUCAAAAUUAUUGCAAUCCAACUCAACAAAGCCUGGAUAUGUGCUUCAAAUUGCAGUUACAUUAUGUGCUCCAAGUAGAAGAAGUAUUUGUGUAUGAUGUUGUAAAAACUACUGAAGAAACUCCAAUGGAUGUACGAACACAAGUCAUUGAAAAGGCGAAUCACCUUAAUAUAAAAGCAACUCUAAUGGAUGUAUAGACAUAUGUCAUUGAAUUUUUGAAUCAGCUCAAUAUAAAGUUCUUAUCAUUACUCUCAUUAGCAGCAGCUUGUGCUACAGCUAGUGUCAUCAAUGUCCUCCCCGACAUUAGUGGGUCCUACUGCCCACCAAAGUUCUGCAGCAGGUAUCAACUCUCUGCUAUGAUUGAUUUCUUGUCUUGGUUUCUUACCACCACUUCGUCGCUUUUCAAUAUGUGGCUGCUUGCUUCUUGGUGAUUCUCAUUCAACUUGGGCUAUUGUUGUCUUGUUGGUGAUAUCUGAGACUGUUCAUGAUGUGGUUAUGUCUAUAUAUUAUUGAUAUGAUUGUGGAAGGUGGAAGUGAGUUGUCAAUAAAAAUCAGAUUCUUCCUAUUGAUGAGUAAAAAGAUGAAAGAAAUAUGAAAUUCUAUAAUGUAUUUGCAAAAAAGUCUGUACAUCCAUUGUGCAAAGAACUCUUUCAUUUCUAUAAGAAUCCAAACAAAAUGAAAAAAAUAGUAUCCUAGUUAGGAUGGGAAGAAAAGAAUUUUCCCAAAAUAGGAUUGCUGCUAGAUUCAUAUGCUAGAGGUAUUUAAUAUAUUUCAGGUUGAUCUUCGGAAGAAUGAGGUAGGCUUUAAUGAAUCUUUCAAUUACAAAGAGGUGUCAGACUUAGAUGCAACCUUGAAAAGGCCAGUUUUUGAAAUUCAUAUGCAAUGUGUUUUUAAAAUUUAUUAACAUCAUUAGAAAAAGGUAACAAUGUCUUUUUUGCCAUUUUCAAAAUUUAUGAUCAUCACCAGAUUUUAAUGUCAAUGAGGUUCGCAUUGCCAUUAUCUUUAAAUCCCCACCUGGGCAUCAAGUUUCCAACUAAU